UGCAGUCGAGCGGUAAGGCCCUUCGGGGUACACGAGCGGCGAACGGGUGAGUAACACGUGAGCAACCUGCCCCUGACUCUGGGAUAAGCGGUGGAAACGCCGUCUAAUACCGGAUACGACCCGCCACCUCAUGGUGGAGGGUGGAAAGUUUUUCGGUCAGGGAUGGGCUCGCGGCCUAUCAGCUUGUUGGUGGGGUAACGGCCUACCAAGGCGAUUACGGGUAGCCGGCCUGAGAGGGCGACCGGCCACACUGGGACUGAGACACGGCCCAGACUCCUGCGGGAGGCAGCAGUGGGGAAUAUUGCGCAAUGGGCGAAAGCCUGACGCAGCGACGCCGCGUGGGGGAUGACGGCCUUCGGGUUGUAAACCUCUUUUACCACCAACGCAGGCUCGAAGUUUUCUUCGGGUUGACGGUAGGUGGGGAAUAAGGACCGGCUAACUACGUGCCAGCAGCCGCGGUAAUACGUAGGGUCCGAGCGUUGCUCCGGAAUUAUUGGGCGUAAAGAGCUCGUAGGCGGCGUGUCGCGUCUGCUGUGAAAGACCGGGGCUUAACUCCGGUUCUGCAGUGGAUACGGGCAUGCUAGAGGUAGGUAGGGGAGACUGGAAUUCCUGGUGUAGCGGUGAAAUGCGCAGAUAUCAGGAGGAACACCGGUGGCGAAGGCGGGUCUCUGGGCCUUACCUGACGCUGAGGAGCGAAAGCAUGGGGAGCGAACAGGAUUAGAUACCCUGGUAGUCCAUGCCGUAAACGUUGGGCGCUAGGUGUGGGGACUUUCCACGGUUUCCGCGCCGUAGCUAACGCAUUAAGCNNNNNCGCCCUGGGGAGUACGGCCGCAAGGCUAAAACUCAAAGGAAUUGACGGGGGCCCGCACAAGCGGCGGAGCAUGUUGCUUAAUUCGACGCAACGCGAAGAACCUUACCAAGGUUUGACAUCACCCGUGGACUCGCAGAGAUGUGAGGUCAUUUAGUUGGCGGGUGACAGGUGGUGCAUGGCUGU
rnacentral:rRNA from 1 species